rnacentral:other from 1 species
ACAACCCUGCGAUGUGCGUGAUUGAACAGAAUACGGGGCGAGCCAACGUUUUAACUACGGGAGCAUGGUGACGUAGCGUGGAUGUGUCAGCCUGACCCCUGGUGGGCCCAGGUAAGACGGAAGCGCUCAACCAGCACCCACUUGCGACUCUCGGGUCGAUCCCACUGCUCGCACGGCAUUGCGGGGUUUCU